ACUAAAUAUAAAUUAUGUCAAGAAGGACAAAACUCCAUUUGAGGACUAUCCAGAACUCAAGAAAGAGUGGUGGCCAGACUUUGUGGAGUGGGUUACCUCUGAUGAGUAUAUUGCUCUAGGAGAAAAGGGCAAGCAAAGCCAAAGCAUGAAUAAGUUCCGACAAAAACUAGGUCGGCGAAGCUAUACUGUACAAAAGAGAAAAUGGGCAAAGGAAGAUGCACAAGCAUUAACCGAGGGUAAAUCUAUUCCAUUUCAAGACAUGCCAGAUGGUCGUCAUAAGGAUUGGGCAAGGGCGAGGAAUCCUUCUGGCGAUGUGAACAUAACAGAGUCGCAUCCAAUCAUAAAGAAAAUUGUAGAUCUAAAUGAAAAGUCAGUAGCUGGUACCUUUACACCAUUGGAUAAUAUGGACAUACUUGCAACAGCAAUAGGGAGUAAUCAUCCAUGGAGGACAACAGGGGUGAGUGCUUAUGUGGGUUUAGGGAUGGGUCUUGCUCAAGGUGAUGGCCCUCGUAAGAAGAAACGUAGAACAACGAAAGAGUAUGUCAAGAGGAUUGUGGAUGAGUACGAGGCCAAGUUUGAGAAACUGACAGCCCUGUGUUAGAGUAUGGAGCGUCGAUUAAACAAUUCUGAGAGUUGCUCAUCUUCAAAAUUUGUUGAUACACCAGACCAUGCAACACAUCAUUCAGUUGACUCAUUACAAGAGGUGAUGAAAUGCAAGUUGGUGGUGCAGAUAGGUCCGCAAUCUGUUGUGGUCGCUAGAGGGUAGGCUUACCCUCCAAAGGAUGUUGUAACCGUCCAUGGGAUUGAGCGGCGAGAUGACCACACAAAAGUGCAGGUUGAUUUUGUGUUUGACAACUUCUUGGAAUUUCCACUCCCUAUUCCUAUCGCUGGUGGUGAUAUGUU